rnacentral:rRNA from 1 species
GAGAGUUUGAUCCCGGCUCAGAAUCAACGCUGGCGGCGCGCCUAACACAUGCAAGUCGAACGAGAAAGGGGAGCAAUCCCUGAGUAAAGUGGCGCACGGGUGAGUAACACGUGGGUAACCUACCCUCCAGUGGGGAAUAACCCUGGGAAACCGGGGCUAAUACCGCAUACGUCCGGGCGGACGAAUGUCCGGCCGGGGAAAGCCUUCGGGCGCUGGAGGAGGGGCCCGCGGCCGAUUAGCUAGUUGGCAGGGUAAUGGCCUACCAAGGCGAAGAUCGGUAGCCGGCCUGAGAGGGCACACGGCCACACUGGCACUGAGACACGGGCCAGACUCCUACGGGAGGCAGCAGUGGGGAAUCUUGCACAAUGGGGGAAACCCUGAUGCAGCGACGCCGCGUGAGCGAUGAAGCCCUUCGGGGUGUAAAGCUCUUUCGGCAGGAACGAUCAUGACGGUACCUGCGGAAGAAGCUGCGGCUAACUACGUGCCAGCAGCCG